AUCGGAGUCAAAGACGGCGAGUUGGAGAGUCGUCCGAAUCGGAAGAUUCUGGAAUUUACAAUGAGAGGAUUCUUAUCUUGGUGUUUGCCUCAAUGAAUUGGGAUAUUCCUACACUAUGUCGAACAGCCUCGGUAAAUAGGAAACUACGUGCAGUUGCGAGAAGGAUUCUAUGGAAAGAGCUUUGCGUGUAUCGAGCUCCGCAAAUGAUAACGGCCUUAACGGACGGCGGUAGAAUUGGCGGCGGAUGGCAGGCGAUGGCAAAAUUGAUGUUCUUCUGCAAUGGAUGUCAAUCGACCCGGCAUUUCCAAGUGUGCCGACCGGAAGCGGGUCACUUCGUGAAAACAUCCCGGUUUUCG
rnacentral:misc_RNA from 1 species